rnacentral:rRNA from 1 species
UACAGAGGUCCCGAGCGUUGUUCGGAUUCACUGGGCGUAAAGGGUGCGUAGGUGGUGACGUAAGUCGGAUGUGAAAUCCCUCAGCUUAACUGGGGAACUGCGUCUGAGACUGGCGGGCUUGAGGGCAGGAGAGGAACGCGGAAUUCCAGGUGUAGCGGUGAAAUGCGUAGAUAUCUGGAGGAACACCGGUGGCGAAGGCGGCGUUCUGGACUGUUUCUGACACUGAUAAACGAAAGCCAGGGGAGCAAACGGG